UGAAGAUAAAAUAUUGUUUUAUUACUGAAAAAGUUGACUUCAGAAUUUGCCUUGACUUGUGACCAACUCGGUUUCCUAAUCUCUUCCCUCCUCCCUCAGUUGUACUUAUUUGACUACUCACAUACUACCCUUCUCUCUCUCUUGCAGCUAUUUCUCCUCUUACAGAAAGGGCUUCUUAUUUGCCUUCUUAACUGACAGGAACUGCCUCAAUAACUUGUUAACCUUCUGCCCUGGUGAUAUUUAUCCUCCUCUUCUUCUGUAAAGCAAAAAAAAAAAAAAAAAAAAAGAAAGAAAGAAGCAACAGCCCAGAGGGGUGCAGUGGCUUAUUCCUGUAAUUACAGCACUUUGGGAGGAUAAGACAGGAGGAUUGCUUGAGGCCAGGAGUUUGAGACCAGCCUGGACCACAGAUCAAGACCCUGUCUCUACUGAAAAAAAAAAGUGAAGGCCUACAGGGAAAGAAACAAUUACCAAGAAGGACAAAUCUGCUAGAAGGCCUGACACGUAUUUCGGAGGAUUAACAGAAGUCAUCAGCCCAUGAGAUCUUCAGAGGGUCCAUGACAAUGUUACACCCUGAGUCACAGGCUAAAUGUCUAGAACAGUCAGAUGCUUACUGGGAACCCAGAUGAUGUUUCUAAGGAGGAAAUUCAUAUAGGAUAAAAUUUGAGCAAAUCGCUUUCAGAAUUCAUGCAAGAAUCUCUCCAAAAAUUGUGCCAGCUGCUGUCUCGUGCUGUAGUUGAAGUCCAGAGUUGAAUCUGCCCAUGUGCUGUGCUUCGGACCAGGUAGCAGAAUCAGAAUCAGCCAAGUCAUGAUUACCCCUUUGAAACAAGUUACC